rnacentral:rRNA from 1 species
UGGGGAAUAUUGGACAAUGGGGGGAACCCUGAUCCAGCCAUGCCGCGUGUGUGAAGAAGGCCUUAUGGUUGUAAAGCACUUUAAGCGAGGAGGAGGGUACUGGUAUUAAUACUACCAGGUACUGGACGUUACUCGCAGAAUAAGCACCGGCUAACUCUGUGCCAGCAGCCGCGGUAAUACAGAGGGUGCGAGCGUUAAUCGGAUUUACUGGGCGUAAAGCGUGCGUAGGCGGCUAAUUGAGUCGGAUGUGAAAUCCCCGAGCUUAACUUGGGAAUUGCAUUCGAUACUGGUUAGCUAGAGUGUGGGAGAGGAUGGUAGAAUUCCAGGUGUAGCGGUGAAAUGCGUAGAGAUCUGGAGGAAUACCGAUGGCGAAGGCAGCCAUCUGGCCUAACACUGACGCUGAGGUACGAAAGCAUGGGGAGCAAACAG